GUGCUCGCUUUGGCAGCACAUAUACUAAAAUUGGAAUGGUACAGAGAGGGCUAGCAUGGCCCCUGCACAAGGAUGACAUGCAAAAAUAAUCAAUAAAAGACUAU
rnacentral:snRNA from 1 species